GGGAGCGGUAUGAAUUGAGAGGUUCACGUACCGUUCUGCGAGAGGCUGCGGGGGAGGUUCCCGCGGCCUACUCACC
rfam:Pseudoalteromonas rubra strain S2471 contig0096, whole genome shotgun sequence.